rnacentral:rRNA from 1 species
UGGGGAAUAUUGCACAAUGGGGGAAACCCUGAUGCAGCGACGCCGCGUGGGGGAUGACGGCCUUCGGGUUGUAAACCUCUUUCAGUAGGGAAGAAGCCUUCGGGUGACGGUACCUGCAGAAGAAGUACCGGCUAACUACGUGCCAGCAGCCGCGGUAAUACGUAGGGUACAAGCGUUGUCCGGAAUUAUUGGGCGUAAAGAGCUCGUAGGUGGUCUGUCACGUCUGCUGUGGAAACGCAAGGCUCAACCUUGCGCGUGCAGUGGGUACGGGCGGACUAGAGUGGAGUAGGGGAGUCUGGAAUUCCUGGUGUAGCGGUGAAAUGCGCAGAUAUCAGGAGGAACACCGGUGGCGAAGGCGGGACUCUGGGCUGUAACUGACGCUGAGGAGCGAAAGCAUGGGGAGCGAACA